rnacentral:lncRNA from 1 species
AACAGCAGCGGAAAAAGACGAUCUUAGCGGGGCUUCAGCUCCACUCCACAAGCAAAACUUUUUUUGAAGAGACACUCCACAAGCAAAACUCAACUGGGGUCUGAGCCUUAUCCUCUAACUCCGUCUUCAGCUCAGAAGCACUACACUUCUGAAAAGGGGGAAUAAUAGCAAGGCUGAGUACAACCACCGUAAUCAGCAAGCCACACCAAUGAUACAGACGUGCAAGGAGAUAUAAGGACGGCUUGUGGCUAUUUGCAUAAAGGCGGUUGUAACACAUUUUAUUGAGCAAAGCAGUAAAACGGUUGAUUAAUUAAAGUAAUAUUAAAUCUCCACUGAUCAACGCUACACCACGUUGAACAUGCCCAACCAUCCCACCUGAAAUAACCAGUGCAUUGAGUCAAUUUAUUAAGGGUGAAACUAAUCACUGUGAAUCUAGUCGAUCACCCAUAAUCGCGAGCACGGCUAUUCGAAUAGUUUUACUCUGGCCAGAGGUCCACAACUGUACCCAGAAGACACAAUUCACCAGCAUGUCACCAUGUCAUCAUGUGCCCAUGAUGAACACGUCACCAUGUCGAGUGAUUGUGACAAGACACUUCAUAUAACCUCCCCCCUGACCAAUCGCACCACACCUCAGGUUUCGCUCUUGUCCCCAACAGGCAACGGGCAGCCCCUCCCUCGUGCCAUGGUGAAUCCGGAAGCCGAUCAACCGAACACCCCGGCCGACCCAACUCCAUCACGCUGACCCUAGCCUCGAUACGUCAGCCAGAGGAAAGCUAUACUACAGAUCAAGCAGUUACCCAUUCCCGCUUGUGGCAAGCGUUGUAUGUCCUCCAGGGUUUUGCGCGAACCGGUCCUUAAUUGCCAUAGGUGCGACUCGCAAAACCAUGCACCCACAGCCCACCCAUUCAGUCAAAUUUUAGUUGGAUAAUUACGACCAUGAAACAUGGCAAGAUGUCUCGAGCACGCAACUCGUCAAGAUAGUAGAUGUCUAAUAAUGUAAUUAUCUUAUUUUGUGAGCUAGUGGUAAUUAAGCAUGGCUAAGCAUAUAUAGUUCUAGUUAGAUCCACAAAAGUAUCAUGAGUUAGAUAAAUAAUCACCCAAGGUUGACAAAGGAUGGGUAACAAGUAAACAUGGCACAUGCGAGCAGAUAGGUAGAACCCUAAUCCCAUGUAAUUAGCAAGACAUGCAGUUUCAUUUGCAAACGAUAAAACAUUUAUAAAUUAGGCUCAAAAUGCUCAAGGGGAAUGUGUGACUUGCCUUGCUUCUUCAAAUGAUCUUCCGAACUCUGAUCCUCGCGAACGCGAUCUUCCGAAACGGUGAAAUCUACGCGCUGGCACGCAAAACGAGGAAAAGCUCUAAUAAAAACCAAGUAAACAGUACAUGAAAAGUAAACAAACAUGUAGAUCUUAAUUUUAUAUGAAUUUUGCAAGUUGAAUGGCUUAAUUUGGAGUUCGUAUGAAUUAGAUAUGAAUUUUAGAAGCUUUUGAGCCAUUUAAAUGAAUUUCCAUAAGUAAUACCGAUUUAUUGCGCCAUUCUUAAUUAAUUUCUCAAAGGAAAAUGGGCUAUGCUGACGUCAGCAAAGGGGGUGCCGGCGCCGACAGGUGGGCCCCACAUGUCAGCGGGACACAAGGGAGAGGGCGCACGGUGGACGCGGUCCACCGUGGCCUCGGGCGUGCCGUGGACCAGGACCACGGCGGUCCACGGGCGGCCACGGGACAGGGCGGGGGUGGUCGAGACCGGCCCGGUCGAGCGACGGCGAACGGCGGCGGCGGCGCAACGCGGCGGCUGACGAAGGAGGGGAAAAAGAGAGGAGGGAGAUGCUCACCGAGUGCCUGU